GCGUUCGCACCGGCAGCACGUCGACCACAAGGCAACGAUAGGAGGGGAUUCGCAUGGCCCCUGCGGGCAAGGAUGACACGCACAUUCAUGACGCCUCCCGUAUUUUU
rnacentral:snRNA from 1 species